GGUCAUUCUUGUGCUUGCACCAUCCCUGAAGAUUGACCAGGUUCUUGUGCCUUAAUCUUCCCAAGCUUUCGAUUUCCGCAGCGAAUUCCCUCAUUCCAUGAGUUAAAUUCUGGACUAUCUUCUUGACUGCAACUUCGUUCCCAUUUGUAGGUAACACACCCUUGUACACUGUGGCGAAGCCACCCACUCCAAUCACCUCACUGACCUUGAAACCUUUUGUGGAUGUGUAAAGAUCCUUAUACCUGAACCUGUGAGGAUAAUCCAACUCCCAAUCUUCGAGAUCUUCAGGCUUCAUCUUCCUUCUAUACAACAAACGAAUCAACCAUGCUCCAAACACUAAAAGGAUCACAGCUAAACCCGUAAUUAAAACCUUAAUUCCAGUAUGCAGAGAGGAUGAGUCUGUUUCAAUUGGUGGCACUGGGAGUAUAGAAAGAUUGAGCGGACGAGCUGUUCCAUUGAUGCAAAAACUCCAUCCCAAUAUGUAAUGAGAGCUCCUCUCUUCUCCCGUGGAUGCAGAAAAACCAACAUACAUACUGUUCGUGACAACCCCAGGUAGCUCGAUUUCUUUAGACAUGAGUGGUUUCAUUGGUUUGUCCGGAACCGAUAAUGGAGCGAUUGUGACAUUCACAACACCAUCCGCGUAGUCGAUCCAAGCUUGGAUAUGUCCACUGUCCAAAUUUACCUCUUCCUUCUUGUCUGUAUCAUUGACAUAAUAUGAAGCAGGUUCUGAGGCAAUUGAAUCCAUCUUAUUGAUGUUGAUUCCAACAUGGUUACCUUCACUGCUUUUACCUUCAUUGUGUCCGUUAACUGUAUCGAAUUCAACCGCAAAGAUGUGGUUUGAUUCAUCACCAUCAUUCGUGGAGUUGAGAAUUCCCAGAAAAUGCCCACUGUCAGCCCCUUGUAGGUCUGUAGAUGGUGAUAACAAAAAUGCGAGGCCGUAGCCGCCUCCGUCAGAGCCGGAGGGAAUGAUUGAGAAAACAAAGGAGGUGCUGAAUGAAGAAAUAUUGUUGGAAGAGUUCAACAGAUUGAUUGGGUCAGGAUAGAAUGCAUGCCCGAUUACAUCACGUGACCUGUUGGUGAGCUUAAGUGCGCCACUGGGUUUUAUAAUAGUGGCACCCUUCAGAGUGAAGUUUUUUUCUGUGCGAUUGAAACCAUUGUACACAAAAUCAAGAGAUGAAGACUGAGAUUGUGCAGCGCCAUUAACGAUGAAAAAGAAGAAAAGGAGGAAGAGAAGGCAAGGAGCUAAAGAAAAGGAGGAGGCCAUGGAAGCGUGAAUAAGAGAAGAACCAGUUGAGGAAGAUAAUGAUAUAGAUUUCAGAGAGAAGACCGGAGAAGUGGAAUUGUCGAAGUCAAGAAGCAUUGAUUGUGAAGAAACGCUAAACGGCAUUAGGAGUUGGGAGCGACGACAGUGACAAUGAGACAGUCAUGUCAUAUUCCAUUUUCACCCCAUGCCACGAUACUGGGAGAAGAGCCGUGCUGAUACAGCCAUACAGGUUUGAACCUUUCAAGCCUCUAGACUUGCUCACCCUCUGAUCAUGCCCUCGAGACCACAUCAACCGCAUGAUCACGUUGACUUCCAAAUCCAAUGCCGCCUCUACAAGGCUACUUGGCCUUCUGUCUUGUAUUCGCCUAUUGAAGGUCUUGUACAUAUAAAAGUUUUUGAAAAAGUUUCUCUUAUCAUAUUAAAUUACUAAAAACAGUCGACAAAAAUGAAGUGGAAAUGCUUUAUAUUUAUUUUCGUGCGAAAUUGAAUGAUAAAUCAACGACGCGUGAAAGUCUAGCAAAUAAGAAGACUGGGUUUUUCCUGGUAGGCGUGCAAUUGAUGUUGACCCAAGAAAAAUAAAGAAAAUGAACUCGUAAACUACUUUCACAUUUGAACAUCGAGCAAAUUUAGCACGAUCAGGUCAUAUGGCGUUAGAUAGCGGUUUGUUUGAUUCAUCGUUGGGCGGUGGUAUGAACGGGAUGUGGGUCACUUUUACCAUUAUUUGUACUCAUUGAUUAUUCCAAUUGGCAUGGCCUCCAUCACCCUUUGAUCUGGAUUUCUUGGAUUGGAUGGUUUUUCUAUGGAAUUGAAUUUUGUUAUUUAUCAUAUAUACCACGAGGUGAAGCAUGAGAUGUGUGGUGAUGAUCUCUUCUUGGAUACAUUAUUAAAGAUGACCCAUUACAUUCUCUAAACAUUAAAAUAAUUAUAAUCAUUAUAAUCAUAAUAAUCAUCAUCUUUUAAGUUUAUUUGAAUCAUAUGAAGAACAAAAAAAAUUCAAAUAAUUAAAAAAAUGUUAUAUAUAAUUAAUAGAAAUUAUUUAGAAACUUACAAAUUUUGAAAGAAUAAUAAAUAAAUUUGAAGAAUCAUGAGAGAAAGUUUUAUUCAAUUUAUAUUUAGUUGUUUUAUUUGAAUUAUGCAGUAAAAUCCAAGUUUUCUUGUUCAAUUUAUCAUUUAAAUUCCAAAAAAAAUAAAAAUUAAAUAUAAUACAAAUGGUUUUAAGGUGUAUAAAAUUUUAAGUUCUUCCUUCUUUAGAAAAAGAAAUAAAAUUCUAAAUAGAAUAAAAGAAAUAAAUUUUAAAAACUCAAUGAAAAGUAUUUAUUUAGUUCAUACUUUUAACUUUUAAUUUUCCUUCCUUCCUUUAUCUAUUUAUUUAUUUUGGUUUUCUCUUGAUACAAUACCAAAAGCCGAGAUCAACUAUAUCAUGUCAUGUUUUAAGUUUCGUACUUUAUCUCCAAAUCACCUUUUAUCUCAUUAUUUUUUAUACUUUGAUCCUAUUUGUUUAUAUCUUGUUCUAGUAUAUUUUUAUCAUCAUCUAACAACUUAGUUUUCAUUAUAUAUUUUCAAUAGAUUUUAUUAUACACUUUCAAUAAUUUAGAUUACAUUUUUAACAAAUAUUGAUUCGAAGCCCUAAAAUUUCCUAAAAAUCAAACGGUUUUAAGUUCUAUAUUUGUUUUAUCAAAUUUUAGAUGUUAACGAGUCCCUUUCAACAUGUCACUAGAUGCUUACAUUUUAUUCAUUUUCAAUAAGACAUUCAUUUUAAAUAACGUGAUUAAUAUUUCGGUUUAAAUAUAUGUCAUCUUCUUCAACAUAGUUAUAAUUGGAGUUCAUGUUUUUCUAUUAAUAAGCCCUUGUGUUUCUUGACUAAUUUUACUAAAAAUCAUCUAAAAUCGAGCUUUAAUUAGUAAUGGCUAAUGAAAGAAUGAUUUGAUCCAUGAAAUUGUCUUGAUCCCAAUCAUUUUUCAUAGAUAACAAGUGCUAUCAUGAUAUGAGAUUUGACUAAGUUAAUACAUGUUAAUAGUCUAAAAAUAUUGAGAUUGAAUAAUAAAAUGUAAAGGGAUAAAAAGUCAAUGUUAGAUUAAAAAAAAUCGGUAUCAUUGUCUCACAAUGUUCCAUGGAUUAGAAGAACAAAGAGGUGAACAUUCUCAAAGACAAGUGCCAUUUAAAAAAUUGAGGAGUUUGAGACUUGAUUCAAAUUUUUUAUUUAAUCCAUCAAUUGAAUAGCAUAUUUGGUCUUCCAGGAAAUCCAAAUUAUUGGGUGAUGAUUAGAACUAAAAUAAUUAUUUAUAUUAGAUUUUGUGGAAAGCAAGGAGAAAUAAUUCUUAAAUAAGCAUAUGUCAAUUGAUUAUCAUUUGAGCAUUGAUUUUCACAUUUUCUUUGUAGGGUAUUUGUUUUGAUUUGUGUGUUACCUCCAAGCAGAAACUCUCACUAAUGGGGCUCCUCUCCAUUCUAAGACCAUCAUAUUCAUAUUGUUUCCUUCAAUCUUCACCCCAUAUUUACUCUCCCCUUCUCUCACCAUCUGUUUGGCUUCCAUUAAGCUCUCUUGGCUCACUCUCCACCCCUCCAACCCCAAUAUUGAGUCAACAUUAGAGUCACCUCCCUUCAUCUCCUCCCACUUCUGGAACCAACCCAGAGAUGAGACAUGAGGUGCCACAAAGAGACACUCCAUGGCUAUUCUUGCUUCUGCAAAAUGAGUUGGGAAGGUCCACUCCAUUGAUUCUAACAGGGCUUGGUAAUGUAUUAAAUAUUCAUUAAAGAAUAACCUAAAACUCGAAGUGUUCUUCUGUUUCUCCCAGCCAUCUCCAUCACCGAAAGUUAUGAUGCCCCUGUUGUUAUUUUUAGAAUGGACAGUUAGUUCCUUGGCUACCGUCAUGAACUCCAUAGCCUGCCUUCUUCUGCCGGUACUCCCCAUGUGUGAAAGGCCCAUCAUACAAUUAAAAGCCAGCCAUUCACUUCUUCCACCCUUUUUCUUCGUUCUCUUUAUCUCAUUCAUCAACCCCUGCAGCUCCAUCUCCUCUACCUUCAGCUUUAGGCCAACGGAUCUGGCGUGAUUGUAGAGAUGCCUCUUUGUCUCCUCGAAUCUCCAUUGUGAAGCAGCACAAACAUAACCCUCCUCCCUUCGCUUGAUCGAUGUGAGUCUUACUGUCUUUUGGUGGUGUUGCCCUAUGGCAUCGAUCAUUGAAGACCAUUGUAACCCUUCUCCCAUGUCGAAGUCAACUAUGUGUAUGGUCUCAGCAUCGUGAGGCAUGGCCUCAAGGAUUGCCGAGUUGGCUGCAAAGUGAGCAAACUUCCCAUAUGGGAAGAUUUGGUAGAACGCUUUGAAGGCUACAUUGAAGUUCUUGGCAGACUCUUGUCUGAGGUAGUUUGUUUGCUUGUCUGUGGGUUGGAAUAAGUAAUAUGAAAGCCGCUCCACAACCUCACCAGCAGGGCUUACUUUUUCCUGGAUGCGGUUCAUCAACACAACUGCAAGCUCUGCCUCUCCCUUCUCCACAGCUUCUCCAUAGGCCAUGACCAGAUGAACAAUGCUCAGUUCAUUAUCCAUUUCCACGUCCUCUGUAGGCAAGGUUAACAAAGCUUCAAUCGAGUCCACGUCCAUAGAUGCAUCAGCUGACUUCAUGGAUGGGCUAAAGCUCCAGUUGUCGUCUCCUUCAACAGAGGGUUGUUUAGAAGGAUAACUUUUCUGUCUCUCCUCCAACCAUCCAAACGUAUCCUCAGUAUCAUUGCUCAAAAUGGUCUCAAACUCCUCCAAAUUUAGUGAAUAAACAUCAUUCGGUAGUGUAUGUUGAACCUCAUCAAUAUGAAUGGGAAAAUCCAUGUACUCAUCAGACAACGUUGUUGGAGGAUAUGGGAUGAAUUCAACAUCAGGACUGUCCUUAAUUGUGUUGAAAAGGGAGAACCCGGACUCCAUGUCUGCAUCAAUGCCUAGUCCAUAAACUGCAAUUUCAUCAAGACAUGAAUCUAUGUCGUUGAAGCAUGGCCAUGGGAACUGAAGAAGCUCAUCAGGCUGCAUCAUCUUUUAACAAGAAGAGCAAAGGAAGUGAUCUGGAGUUCUAUAUAAAAGGCUUGACUAUUUAUAGGUGAUGGGCCAAAAUCAGACAAGAUAGAUUUCUUUCCAUCAAAAUUCCCAAGUUAAGUCAUCUUCCUCCCCUGUCCGUUUCUGAAGGGAAUUAAGUAAUCUUUAUAUCAUACUUGCCAUAUAUUCAAGAAAGGUACCAUAACUGCUUGUUCUAUUCUCCUUUUGUUUAUGGUUGUGCCGCUUUCAAAGUAAAUGCCAGGCCUUUCAUGAGAGCCUUGAUUGUGAUACAAUUAUAUAAAUAUUAAGGGAAAAAACAAACAAACGGCUUACUCAUUAAGCUUCCAUUCUGGUGCAUUGUGGCCUAAUUAGUUCUUUCAGGCACGUUCAGGUGUUCAUGAAAGAUGAUUCUGCCAUUCACCACCUGGUUACUUUGAAUGAGUUCAUUUUGCUUUUCACAGCAGCUCUGAAGACUAUCUGCCUCAAGAAAAGAAGAAGAAAAGAAUAGGGAAUCUAAGAUAUGAUCAACAAACUAUACCAUAAGCUAGACCAACACCAUUAGUUGUUCCUCAUCAAACUUAUCAAUUUGUUUUGUUGUUUUUCUUGUUUAUUUACCUUUUUUUUCCAUGUAUUAUUAUUUUAAUGAGCGCAAGGUUGAGAGAAGUUCAGACAGACAGACACCCACCCAAAAAUUUUACUAGUUUGCUCCAUAUCUAUUGAAUUUCACAGUGCUUUCAAACAGACCUGUCAAUGUCGACUUGUAAAUUGAUUCCUGCUUUUGUUGUUUCUUAACUAUUACUUAAUCAUUGUCAGGAUGAUAAUAAAUUGUUAUCCAGUUAAUAAGGACAAGAUAUUGUUAGGAUGAUAAUGAAAUGCUGUCCAGUUAAUACGGACAAGAAGAAAAAGUCUUGAAGCAGAGAGCAUGCCGCAACUUAAUAUAAAUUUGAUGCCAUUAACAUACUUUUGUCUUCUAAUCCAGGAGCCACCAUAUCCAGAAUUCAAGGCUUCUUGGGCUAAUUCAUGGAAAGUUGAGGUGCACGUCUUGACUAACGCAUGUAAUGAUAGGGAGUUAUGAUGCAAACAGUUUUUUUGUUUGAAGACACUCUUAUGAUAAUGGAGGAUAACAAUGGAGAUGAUGGAGAUGAAUCAUCCAGUGUUUGAAAGAACACAUUCACCAGAUGGAGCUUCUGCUUCCCAUCAUCUUGCUUGAGUUUGAUUUAAAUCCUUGGACUACUUGAGAUUGCAGUCUCGUCUCAUCAAUGGCAGUGAAAAUUCCUUGACCAGCAGUGACAAUGCUACAUACCAUAACUUUUUUUUGUUGAACUGUCAAGAUUUUCAGCUUACUUUUUGUGAUAACAAGAGUUCAGAGCAAAUGUCUCGGUCAUUUUCGUCAAUGAAUUAAAAUCAUUAAUGCCAUACUGGCAAAUGGUGAUUAAGGGAAGGAAUCUACAUGUUAUAUCAGGUUGAAAUUCGUAAGUACGUUCGCAUGGAUAGAAUGUUGAGUUUGUUUGAUUCAUCCGUGUAAUGGAUUGCCUGCUGAGUGCCACAUCAGAGUCCAUAACCCCAGGUAUUCAGAUUACUUAUUUUGUUUGAUUCGUCGACUAGUGUCGUGGCUGUAUGUUUGGAGACAGGAAUUAAGUAUCUAUCAUAAAAAUAUGGUGCCUAGGCAUGGAUGUCCGUCCACUGCAUCAUUUCAUCAAACACCCCUAAUGACUUAAAACUCUGUAUGUUGAUUAUGAGUCUUUGAUUGGGAACGAGGACUAAGGAUAUCUUGGAUUAAAGUUCAGAGGAAUAUGGCUAUAGUAUAUAAAAGAAUCAACCAGACAAAUAUGGAAAAGACAGAGCCUUUUCCUCUCAGCAUCCUCGGAUUCCCUGAUUUGAAGCAUGCGACCCAAUAGAGUAAAUUUAAAAGAAAAGACGAUGGUCAUGAAGAUAAUUUGGGAGAAGCUUUCAUGCAAGUGCUGCACAAAUGAGGACACCUUUAGGCCUAUAAAAGAAUAGUUUGUUUAUCUGUCACUAACCCUGUAUUCUAUUAACGUCAAUCAAUAGUAAAAUUGCCUCAAAUAGUAUUAAAAUACAUCAAAAGCGCAUGAAUAUUGGAAUGUUUAUCAAACUCCCACUUAUCCAUGAUCAAGCAUACGACAAAAUUCUUUCGGGCACGUUCAGGUGUUCACGAAUGAUAAUUCGGCCAUUCACCACCUGGUUACUUCGAAUGAGUCCAUUUUGCUUUUCACGGCAGCUCUUAAGCCUAGCUGCCUCAAAAAAAAAAGGGAAAAGAAGAAGGAAGAGGGAGUCUAUGAUAUAAUCAACAAAAAAUACCAUAUGCUAGAUCAACACCAUUACUUGCUCCCCAUCAAAUUUACCAUUUUGUUUUGUUGUUUGGCUUCUUUCUUUACCAAUUUUCCAUCCAUUGGUCUUUUAUUCAGGAAAAUAUUUAAGAUUAGUUCAAAGAUACUCCUACUCAAAAAUUUCACCAACUUCACAAUGCUUUCAAACAGACAUGUCGUUGUCGACAUGGAAAUUGAUUCCUGCUUUAGCUGUUUCUUAACUAUUACUUAAUCAUUGUCAGGAUGAUAAUGAAUCCUUAUCCAGUUAAUAAGGACAAGAAGGAAAAGUCUUGAAGCAGAGAGCAUACCGUAACUUAAUAUAAAUUUAAUACCAUUAACAUGGAGACCUUUGUCUUCUAAUCCAGGUGCCACCUGUCCAGAAUUCAAGAUUUUCUUGGGCUACUGCAUGAAAAGUUGUGGUGCCCGUAUUGGCUAACACGUAUAUUGAUAUUGAUAGGAAGUUAAGAUGCAAACGCCUCUUAAUUCAGUUCACCAUGCCUUUGGGAUAUUUUUGGUUUGAACCAUUGACUGAUGUUAUGGUUUUUCGUAUUUGAGGAUCAGGAGGAAUAAGGAUGUCUUAUGGAAAUGUCUAACUUGUAUCAGCCCAACACUAUCAUGAUAAUGAAGGAUAACCAUAGAGAUGAAUCAUCAAUGGUGCUUCUCCUUCCCAUCAUCUUGAUUGAUAGAGAGUAUUAAAAUAGUUCAUGAGAAUUUAAAUAUUUGAACUAGAAAUUGGUAGUGACAACUGAACCGUCCUUCAGCUUAUUUUUGUGACAGUAGGAGUUUCAUAUAAUUAGAAAUUAGAAGGCAUGAACAAAUAUCUGAUCCUCAUCGAGUUGGUUGAUAUCAAAAUCAUGAAUGUCACACUGGCAAAUGGUGAUCAAGGGAAGGAAUCUACAUACUAUCAAGUUGAAAUUUGUAUGUAUGUUAGCAUGGAUGGUCUGGAGAGUGCCACAUCAGAGUCCCUAAACCCACGUAUUUGGAUUACUAAUUUUGUUUGAUUCAUUGACUAGCGUUGCUGUGGUUACAUCUUUAGAGACAGGAAUGAAGUAUCUAUCAUAAAAAAAAUAUAGUGCCCAGGCAUCCACAGAGGAUUUCCUAAAAAUUAAUGAACAACUACAAAGAUGUAUCACCAUACAAAUCAUCCAAAAUAUGAUGCUUAAGCCUCCUUUCAACACUACAUCAUUCCAUCAAACAACCCUAAUACUCUUAAGCUCAGUAUGUUGACUAUGAUUCUUUGAUUGGGAACCAGGAUUAAGGAUAUCUUGGAUUCAAAUCCAAAGAAAUAUGGAUGAAGUAUAUAGAUGACUCAACCAGUGGAUAAAGUGAAAAAACGAAUCAACCAGACAAAUAUGGAAAAGAUGGUGCCUUUUCCUCUCUAACAUCCCCAGAUUCCCUGAUUUGAAGCAUGCGACCCAAUGGAAUAAAAUCUAGAAUAAAAGACGAUGGUCAUGAAGGUAAUUUGGGAGAAGUUUUCAUGCAAGUGAUCCUAUAAAAGAAUGAUUUAUUUAUCUGUCACUACGCCUGCAUUCUAUUAACUUCAAUCAACAGUAAAAUUGCCUCAAAUAGUAUUAGAAUACAUCAAAAGCCCAUAAAUAUUGGAAUGUUUAUCAUAGUCCUACUUAUCCAUCCAUGAUAAUGAUAAUUUAAUUGAUCUUUCUAAUCAAAAGAUCAACCUAUAAACCAAAAAAGUCUUCUGUUAUUCCAUGAGUGACGAUGGUAUGAGUGCAUAAAACUUGAAAAAGAUCCUUGUCACUUUGAUUGAUACCCAAAUCAUGAAUAUUACUUCAUUUUUCACCUUAAAUACUCUGCUUCACAACCAAUCUUAAUCUAAUAUUGAUGAGAAAAUGACCAAAAAGAAACUCCUCGUUUUGGAUUUGAAUUACGAAACAGUGGCCCCAAGAUGCUGAUGAUACAACCCAAUUCUUCAAAUUGAUGAAUGGUAGUUUUUCAUUUUAUUAUUCCAUUUGUUCAUGUACAGAGUAUAUAUAGAGGGUAAUCAUCAUUCUAAGAAUGGGAAAGAAUGAUACAAGAAAGGAAUGAUAUAAGGAAAGAACAACUAAUAUUCUAAUAUCUCAACAUUCCUAAUUUCUCAACACUCCCCCUCAAGUUGGUGCAUAGAUGUCACACAUACCCAACUUGUCUAAAAAUUUUGAGAACACUCGACUUGAGACUGCAACUUUGGUGAGAAUAUAGGUCAAUUGAUUUUCUGAUCGAAUCUUAGGCAAUUCCACAAUCUUAUCAUCCAACUUCUCCUUAAUGAAGAAUCUGUCAACCUCGACAUACUUUGUACGAUCAUGUUGUACUGGAUUAUGAGCAAUAUCACAUGCGGCUUUAUUAUCACAAAACAAUCGGAUUGGUUGCCUAGAUAGGUAACCUAAAUCCUAUAAGAGGAGUCUUAGUCAUAAUGCUUCACAAAGUCCUAGAGCCAUACCCCUAAAUUCUACUUCUGCACUUGAACGAGCGACGAUAUUCUGCUUCUUACUUUUCUAUGUCACAAGAUUACCACCUACAAAAGUAAAGUAACUAGAUGUAGAUCGCCUAUCAUCCACUGCACCGGCCUAAUUUGCAUCAGUAUAUACUUUUAUACUCUAAUGAUCAACAUUUUUAGUGAACAAAAUUCCCUUCCCAGGAGCAUUCUUCAAAUACCUCCAAAUACAUAUGAUUGCAUUCAUAUGUUGUUCUCCAGGAUUAUGCAUGUAUUGACUUACUACACUCAAUGCAUAAGCAGGAUCUGGUCUUGUAUGAACUAAGUACAUUAAUCUCCCCACAAGUCUCUGGUAUCUUCCCUUAUCGGUUGAUACUUGAUUAGGCUCAACACACAAUUUCAGACCUUCUUCUAUUGGUGUAUCAACAGGUUGACAUCCCGACAUUCCAGUCUCCUAUAAAAGAUCUAAGGCAUACUUUCUUUGAUACAGAAAAAUUCUUUCACUUGAUCGAGAAACUUCAAUCCCAAGAAAGUAUUUCAGUGACCUAGAUCUUUCAUUUUGAAUUCUCUAGAUAGAUAAUUUUGCAGAGCUUUUCUUUCUUCAGGAUCAUUUCCUGUAACUACCAUGUCAUCCACAUAUACGAUGAGUAUCGUAAUCUUACCAUGUUGCUUUUUCAGGAACAAAGUGUGAUCUAAAUUACUUUGAUGAUAGCCAAAAGCUCUCAUUGACUUUGUGAACCUUCCAAACCAUGAUCUCGGGGAUUGCUUCAACCCAUACAAUGACUUUUUCAAUUUGCACACCUCUUGACAUUGCUUUUCUAACACCAUGCAUCCUGGUGGAAGAUCCAUAUAUACUUCUUUAGAUAACUCGCCAUGCAGAAAGACAUUUUUCACAUCGAACUGUUGUAAUGACCAAUCCAGAUUUGCAGCUAAAGACAGUAAUACUCGAACUGUGUUGAUCUUAACUACAUAUGCAAAUGUCUCUAUGGAAUCAAUUUCAUAAGUUUGAGUGUACCCUUUUGCUAUCAGUCUUGCUUUAAAUCGUUCAAUACUACCAUCUGCUUUGUACUUCACAGUAUAGAUCCAACGACACCGAACUGGCUUCUUUCCUAGUGGACGUUCUACGAGUUUCCAUGUUUCAUUCUUCUGCAAUGAUUUCAUCUCUUCAUUCAUGGCUGCUUUCCACCUUGGAUCAACGAAGGCUUCCUACACACUGUUAGGAAUAGCUAUAGUAGAUAAUUGAUUUACAAAUGACUUAUUUAAUUCAGACAAAUAAUGGUUAGACACAUAGUUGCUCAUGGGAUAUUUGACUUUAGUAGACAAUUCAGGUUCAUAUGUGGGUUUAGGAAUACCUCUAUUAUAACGGUGUGGUAACUGUUUCAUGAAUGGAUCAAGUUCCAAAUUAAGAACACCCUCAACAAACGACGAUUAGUUUGGUAUUUCAGUGAAGACAUCUUCUGACCCAAAUUAAGAUGGUGGUGAUGGUUCAAUUGUACUGUCUCUUCCUUCUUCAAUCACUUUUUCAGUUUCUGGGUGGUCAUUACUACUUGGUUCCAAAGUUGUACCACUCAUAUCCAACUCACCCACUUCCUGGUUCACUAGUUCAGAUUGUCCAGAUUCAUCCUCCUUAGAGAUAUGAUAAUCAUAAUUGAGAGUCUGAAUUUCCUUCUGGUACCCCCCUAAAGUUUAGACUCAAAUGAAAAAUACAUCGAAUCUUCAUGAAACACCACAUCCAUUGUAAUAAACAUUCGUCGAGUUGGAGAAUGGUAACAUCGAUAUCCCUUUUUGUGCAAUGCAUAUCCAACAAGCACACAUUGCAAUGCACGGGAAGUUAACUUGGUGCGUUGGUGUUAUGUAGAUGCACAAAUGCCACGCAACCAAAAACAUGAGGAGGUAGAUUUGGGACAGUUGGGGCAAUUGCGACAUUAGUAAGACCUUGGAGAGGUGUUUGGAAGUUAAUUGAGCUAGAAAGUACAUGAUUGAUCAAGUAUGUGGCAAAUGUGAUUGCUUCUCCCUAAUAAAAUAUCGAUACUUUUUCUGCUAUCAAGGAAGCACGAACAACCUCUAACAAGUGCCGAUUUUUUCAUUCAGCGACUCCAUUUUGUUGGGGUGUAUUGGAACAAGUAAUCUGAUGAAUGAUGUCAUGUCCUUCCAAAUAAUUUUAAAGAUCAGAACUCUGAUAUUCUCCACCAUUAUCGCUACACAAAACCCAAACCUUUGCAUUGUACUGAGUUUCAAUCAUUUUAUGAAAUUUUUGAAACAACAAGUUCACUUCAUCUUUGGUCUUCAUCAAGCAUAACCAUGUCAUUCUAGUACAAUCAUCAAUAAAAGUAACAAACCAACGCGAACCACUCAAAGUUGGGACUUUGGAUGGGCCCCAAACAUCAGAAUGUAUAACCAUAAAAGGAAACGGACUUUUAUUCAAAAUUAACGAAAAUGAAGCACGAUGACUUUUAGCCAAUUCAAAAAUAUCACAACGGAAACUAGAAAUAUCACUUUUUGCAAACAAACUAAGAAACAAUUUUUUUAAAUAACCAAAUGAAGCAUGUCCUAGACGUCGAUGCCACAACCCAAUUUUAGACUUUUUCCUUUCCCCCUCAGGUCCAUCUGCCAUCAAGGCUUGUCGCAACUUAUUUGAAUCCUUUGACUGCAAGUCCAAGUAAUAGAGUUUUCCCCGCUUAAUACCAUAACCAAUCGUCUGUCUUGUUUGGAUGUCCUUAAAAACACAAAAUUCAAGCCAAAAAUGACAAUACAAGAUAAGGCUGUAGUGAUUUGAGAAACUGACAAAAGAUUGUAAUAUAAAGAUGGAACAACUAAAACAGAAUCUAAAUUCAAAGUAUCAGUAAGAGCUAAGGAUCCUUCCCCAAUGACUGUGGUUGUGUUACCAUUGGCUGUAGAAACAAUUUUUUGUGAGAAAGGUCUAAGAGGUGAGACUUGUCUAGAAUCAAAAGUCACAUGAUCUGUAGCACUAGAAUCAAUUAUCCAUGCACUAUUAAUAACAGGUGUAGAAGUAUUUAAAAACUUACCACCAUAAUUUGUAGCGGUUACCAAUGCAGAGGCUUUCUCAGCAACAUUAGCCUUUGUUUUUAUUUCGGCAACAGCUGCAGUCGAGGUUUUCUUGGAAUCAUUCUUCCGUUGAUCAUGAUUAUGAUCCCACCAGUCUAGAUAUCCCACAAUUUCAAAGCAACGACUAUUGGUAUGACCAGUCUUAUUGCAGUGAGUGCAUUUGAAGGUUGACUUAUCAAUAUUAGGGUUUGUCUUAGGAUGGUUGGUCUUGGAUUGGUCCUGCCAAUUUUGGGUUGAUCGUUGUCGGACUACCAUAGCUGAGGUGUCAAGGUUGUCAGAUUCUACUUUCAUACUAGCAUGACGCACUGCCUCUCGUCGAAUCAAUGCAUAACAUUCUUCCAAAUCCAGAAGAGGAUCUUUGCGUAGAAUCUCUCCUCGAACUUGCUCAAAGUCACCAUCCAAUCCAGCAAGAAAGAUGUGCACUCGUUGUCAUUCAAUGGAUUUUCAGUAUGCUGCAAUGUCCUCAAGGUCUUUCAUGACUACCUUAUCCCAAUUAUCCAAUUCACAAAAAAUUUCAAUUAACUCUCCAUAAUAUUCAGAAAGAGACCUAUCACUUUGUUUGGCAGUGAAGGCUUUUUUAUUCAAAGUGAAAACUUGUAAUUCAUCACUUGCAUCAUAGAAGGCCUUUGAUAAUGCACUCCAAAUUUCUUGAGCGGUGGGUAAGCGUAAGUAACGCUUCAUAAUUUCUGGACUCAUGGACAUUAACAACCAUCUCUUUACCUUUUGAUUCUCAGCAUACCAUUUUUCAUAUCCAUCUUUUGACUCUCUUAGGGAUUUGUAUUACCUCGAAUAUAGGAAAGUUUUUCCUGUUCGGCAAUAUGCAUCUCCACGAGUUGUGACCAAACGUCAUAGUUUGAUUCAGUCAAAAUAAUUCCUGGAUUAAAAGUACCUUCAAAUUGAAAAACAAUAGUAUUUUUUUCACUUUUUUUUCUUUUGAUCACGAAGGAGGGACAAUGACUGGCCUUACCGACAGAAUAUCCAGGAUUUCAAUUGUAUGGCUCUGAUACUAUCUUCAAAUUGAUGAAUGGUAGUUUUUCAUUUUAUUAUUUCAUUCGUUCAUGUAUAGAGUAUAUAUAGAGGGUAAUCACCAUUCUAAGAAUGGGAAAGAAUGAUACAAGAAAUUAAUGAUAUAAGGAAAGAACAACUAAUAUCCUAAUAUCUCAACAUUCCUAAUAUCUUAACAUUCCUAAUAUCUCAACUUUCCUGAUAUCUAAACAUUCCUAAUAUCUCAACACCAAUAUCAUAGAUGAUGAUAAUAAAAACAAGUCAAAUUUAGUAGAUAGAUGCAUUUAUAAUUGAACUACUACUCCUCCAGGUAUACCUUUCCCUCACUAACAAAUAAGUCAUUUUAUGGGUCUCAAAAGUUUUUAAAUAUGAAGCACUCGUUGACACAUAAGGAAAUUAAGAAAGAAAAAUGAUUUCAAUAUCAAUCAGGACACAAAAAUCUGAAAAGCCCUGAAUCGAGGCUUUAUUUAUUAUGUUAUAGACAAGGCAUGAGAGCUAUUAAUCCACAUCAAAUGCUCUUAACUUGAGUCCACCGACUAUCCAAUUCCCAAGCCUUUUGUGGAUGUGUAAAGAUCCUUGUACCUAAACCUGCGAGGACAAUCCAACUCCCAAUCCUCAAGAUCUUCGUGCUAUGUCUUCCUUUUUGUUGGUGUUUUAAGACAAGCUAAGGAAAGAAGACACAACAGAAAAUAAAGAAAAUAUAUCAGCGGAAGUCACUUUUAUUUCCUCCAUCCAACGUACAUUUAUAGAACUGGGAAAUAACUGAAAAGAGAAAAAAAAUCUCAAAUUCAAAACAGAUAGUACGUGAUCCACAAUUUAUGAAAGUGGACUCACAUCUCCUAAAGAAUAGGAACUAACAAUGACUUAGUUUUAUUCAAACUUUGAAAAAUUAAAACAUAACGCGGUAGUCCAAAAAGCAAACUUCUAACACUCCUCCUUGCUUUAGGAACUGCAAACUCCAAGCUUUUUUCUGAGAAACUCAAACUUAGUGACUAACAAAGGCUUUGUGAAUAUGUCAGCCAGUUGCUCUUCCUUUUUGCAGUAGCGAAGAUUAAUGUCUCCAUCUUUCUGCACACCUCUCAAAAAGAAGAGUUUGAUAUUGAAAUGCUUGGUUUUCCCAUGAAACACAGGAUUGUGAGAAAUUGCUAUUGUAUUUUGGUUGUCCACGAACACUUCAAUACCUUGUGUUUGCUUCAUAUGCAAAUCAACCAAAUUUUUCCUCAGCCACAAUGCUUGAUUUACUGUCGCGGUUGCUGCUACAAAUUCCGCUUUUGCAGUAGAUUGAGCCAUAAUAUCCUAUUUUUUCGAACACCGUGAGAAACUUCCUGAGCCAAGACUGAAACAAUACCUUGAAGUACUCUUCAUAUCAUCUAAGGAACCACCCCAAUCACUGUCAGAAUACCCGAACAGCUUCAUAUUUGGAAUCUUUUGAAACUUAACUCCAUAGUCGACAGUUCCUUUGAUGUACCACACAACUCUUUUUGCUGCCUUUAGAUGCACCUCACUAUCAUAAUGCAUAAACCUUGAUAGAGCACUUAUAGCAUACAAUAUAUCAGGCCUUGUUGCUGUAAGAUACAUCAAACAGCCAAUGAGACUUCUAAAGUAUGUAUCCUCCACCUUUUCAGCUCCAUCAUCUUUGCUUAGCUUUUCUUUUUGGUUCAUGGGAGUAUUCAUUUCUUUGCAAUCUUCCAUUCUGAACUUCUUGAGAAUCUCAUUUGCGUAUUUUCUCUAGCAAAUAAAAACUUGAUCUUUUCAUUGCUUGAUCUCCAUUCCAAGGAAGUAUGUCAUUAGACCAAGAUCUGUCAUUUCAAAAACUUGCAUCAUAUCCAGCUUGAACUCAUCAAUAAGCUUUGCACUACUUCCUGUAAUCAAAAGAUCAUCCAUAUAAAGAGAAACAACAAGAAUUUCAUUGUUAUUUUCCUUAACAUAAAGUGUGGAUUCUGAAAGACUUUUUUUCAAGUCCAGACCAAGCAAAUAAUCAUCUAUUCGACUAUACCAGGCCCUUGGUGCCUGUUUUAAGCCAUAAAGAGCUUUAUGAAGUCGACAGACUUUGUCUUCUUUGUCUUCCACAACAAAACCUUCAGGUUGCUCAACAUAAAUUUCUUCUUGAAGAAUUCCAUUAAGGAAUGCUGAUUUAACAUCCAUCUGAUGCACUUUCUAGCCAAGUUGCGCAGAAAUAGCACGAAGUAAUCUGAUUAUGUCAAGCCUUGCUACUGGAGCAAAUGUUUUAGAAUAAUCAACACCAAAAAUUUGUGCAUAUCCUUUAACUACAAGCCUUGCUUUAUACUUGUUGACUGAACCAUUAGCAUUUAGCUUGGUUCUAAACACCCAUUUUACCCCAAUUACCUUUCUUUCUUGAGGUCUAUCAACAAGCUCCUAGGUUUUGUUUUUUUCAAUCAUGAACAGCUCCUCCUUCAUUGCAUCCUUCCAUUUGGACUUUUUGAGUGCUUCUUCAUGGUUGGCAGGUUCAUAAAUUGCAACAUUGCAUCUCUGAUAAAUUUCAGAGAGCAAUCAAGUACCUCUUACUGGUGGAUCAUCCUCCCUUUCAUCUAAAAAACUUGUUUCAAGCUCUGUCUUUGAAUCUUCCCAAUCCCAUUCUUCAUUUUCCAUGAAGUGGACAUCUCUACUGAUAAUUAUAGUAUAAGUAUGUGGCUGAAAGACUUUAUAAGCCUUUGAAACUGUACUAUAACCAAUAAAAAUUCCUGCAACAGCUUUUUGUCUAGUAUAUCUCGUUUAACCUGAGGAACAUAGGUAAAACAAAGACAACCAAACACUUUAAGAAAAGUCAUUGGAGGUUUGUACCCAUACCAUGCUUCAAAAGGAAUUUGAUUCUUUACUGCCUUUGUAGAGAGUCUAUUAUGCAAAAAUAUAGCUGUGUUUGCAGCCUCUGCCCAAAAUUUCUUCAGCAAAUUCUUCUCGUGCAGCAUGCAUCUGGCCAUCUCCAUAAUAAAUCGAUUUCUUCGUUCACUCACUCCAUUUUGCUCUGGAGAAUAAGAAGCUGAAAGUUGGUGUUCAAUUCCUACUUCUUCACAAAAUAAAUUGAGUUGACAUGAAAUAUAUUCCUUGCCAUUAUCAGAUCUUAAAAUCUAAAUUUUGCAGCCACUUUCAUUCUCCACUUUUGCUUUGAACUUCUAGAAAGUGUUCCCAACCUCAGAUUUGAAUUUCAAAAAAUAUAUCCAGCACAUUCUGGUCAGAUCGUCUAUAAAAAUGAUAUAAUAGCGACUACCUUUGAGUGAGGGUGUCCUUUGAGGUCCUCCAACAUCGGUGUGAAUCAGCUGCAACUUAUUUGAGGCUCUCCAAGUUGCUGUUGGGAAUGGAAGUCUGCUUUGCUUUCCAUAUUGACAAGUCUGGUAGCUUGUGGAAAUCACUUCAAACUUAGGUAAGCCUUCCACCAUUUCUGAUUUUUUCAUUUUGAGAAGCCCUUGAAAAUGAAAGUACCCCAGCCACUUAUGCCAUAACUCAACAAUAUUUUCUUUUGUUGGAAAAGCUAUUUGUUCUUCCUCAAGUGGAUCUAAUGAGAAACUUUUUCCUCUCAUUUUGACCUUAAACAAGUCUGGACCAGAGGCAUCCUUGAUCAGGCAAUAAUUAUCUUCAAAAUACACCUUGAAACCUUUUUCUAGUAGCUAACCAACACUUAACAAGUUUUGGUCUAUUUUAGGUACAUAAAUCAUAUCAUCAAUGACUUUAGUACCUAAAUGGGUUGCAAUAGCAACAGUUCCAAUUCCUUUCGCAGGAAUAUGACCACCGUGACCUAUCCGGACUCUUGCAAUUCUUGUAGGCUUCAAUUCUUUGAAAAGUUCCUUGUCAUGAGUCAUGUGAUUGGUGCAUCCAUUGACAAUCAACCAGCUAUUGCUUGAAAUGCUACCUGAAAAACAAGUUGCAACAAAGAGAUGAUCAUUUUCAUCUUCAUUAGCGAUUUGGGCAUCUGCGUCUUGCUGCUGGUUUUGGUUCUUGCAAAUGAUAGCUUCAUGUCCAAGGUGAUUGCACUUGUUACACUUAUCAUCUGGCCUUUUCCAGCACUUGAACGGUGAGUGGCCAGUUCUAUCACAAUGCUUACAAGGUGGGUACUUUCCCUUGGAACUUCUAGCUUUGUUUUUGUUGCUCCUGUGCGCUGCAGCUUCUCCAUUUGCUUGCUGGUGCUUUCUAUUUUUCUUCUUUUUGUUUCUCCAACCAUCUUCAUGUUUGGCGGGCAAGGCUUCCUCUACAGUUGCUUCUUGUCUCAUAGCUAUUCGUUGUUCUUGCACCUGCAAAGAGUUCAACAACUCUGCCAACGUGAUUUUGGACAAGUCUUUGGUAUUUUCCAAAGUGGUUAGGGUAGCUUCAAAUCUUUCAGGAAGAGUAACCAGAAUUUUUUCAACAAUACGAGAGUCUUUAAACUCCGAACCAAGCAAUCUUACUCUGUUGGCUAUGCUUAAAAGCCUUUCAGAGUACUCCUUGAUGGUUUCUGACUCUUUCAUCUUCUACAACUCGAAAUCUCUGAUUAGAUUCAGCACUUUCAUGCCUUUAAUUCGAUCAUCUCCUUCAUAUUCAAAUUUGAGAUAACUCCAUAUGGCUUUGGCUGAUUUCAAAGACAUAAUUUGGGUGAAGAUUGUAGCUGAAACUGCUGCAAGUAGGCAAGCUUUUGCCUUAGACUUUCUGGUUUUCCUUUCCUCGUGAUUCUUGACUUGAGCCAUCGUUGGGUUGUCUAAUAGCGGAGGAACGUCAUAGUAAUCUUCAACAGCCUCCCAUAGAUCUACAACAUCUAGGUAGGCUUCCAUCCGCACAACCCAUAUGGUGUAAUUAUCACCAUUGAAGAUUGGAGGUGCCAUUGCUGAGAAACUUGAGUCUCCUUCCAUGCUUGAAAUUUUGGUGGAAUACGUGGUGUUUUGGUGGCCCUCAACUCUCAACUCACAAUUUUUUUCACUCACAAUCCCUUAAAGAAUAUAAAGCUCUGAUACCAAUUGUUGGUGUUUUAAGACAAGCUAAGGAAAGAAGACACAAUAGAAAAUAAAGAAAAUAUAUCAGCGGAAGUCACUUUUAUUUCCUCCAUCCAGCGUAUAUUUAUAGAACUGGGAAAUAACUGAAAAUAGAAAAAAAAUAUCAAAUUCAAAAUAGAUAGUACAUGAUCCACAAUUUAUGAAAGUGGACUCAAAUCUCCUCAAGAAUAGGAACUAACAAAGACUCAGUUUUAUUCAAACUUUGAAAAAUUAAAACAUAACAUGGCAGUCCAAAAAACAAACUUCUAACACUUUUAUACAACACGUCGAAUCAACCGUUGCUCCGAACACCAAAAGGAUCACAGCUAAAGCCGCAAUUAAAACCUUAAAAAGAUUGGUGGCGCUGGGAGCAUAGAAAGAUUGAGCGGACGAGCUGUUCCAUUGAUGCAAAAACUCCAUCCCAAUAUGUAAUGAGAGCUCCUCUCUUCUCCCGUGGAUGCAGAAAAACCAACAUACAUACUGUUCGUGACAACCCUAGAUAGCUCGAUUCCUUUAGACAUGAGUGGUUUCAUUGGUUUGUCCGGAAUCGAUAAUGGAGCGAUUGUGA
rnacentral:lncRNA from 1 species